AUACAACCAUAUUCCAUAUAUAAACGACGACUCACCGCCUUUAGCCGUCUUCCCUUUGCAAUUAUAGUACAUUCUGGUGAGUUCCAGAACUUAGGGUUUCUGAAUCUUGACUUUAUACCUCUUCGCAGCUUAGUUAUGGCUGGUUUUAGUGUUGGAAGAUUGAUUUCCUAUGUCGCCAAUCAACUCAUCGUUGAUGGUCUCGCUAAUAGUCACGCAUUCCAAAGAUUUGCUGUCAGGACCAACAACAAGCUGAAAAAUAUCUCUAAACUUGCUGAAGAGAAGAAAAUAGACAUUACUCAACAAUUCAAAGAAAUUUCAAAUGAAAUGAAGGAGACAUUGAAGAAAUGAACAUGGUAUUGGAGCUAACUAGUCUUGUUUCGCACCCAGGCUCUACCGCUCUACACAGCUUGAAUAGUGAUUUCUGAUCCGAACUAUAGUUGAUGUAUUAUAAUGUCGGACAUCUGUUCGAUUUGACUGGGAUCAUGAAUGUGUUUGACAUCUUUUUUUAAAUAAAUACGAAGUGAAUAGUAGUGAAAUGUUGCGUAUUAUGGUGUAUAUUUUAACGCCAAAUGUUUGGAGGCAAUUUUUAAAUUGGAUCAAAUAAAGAAAUUAGUAUACUGUGGAUAAUUUGUAUAUUGUCUAUAAUUUGUAGUUACCUACCAGACUCCUUAUAUUCCUA